AUUGAACGCUGGCGGCAGGCCUAACACAUGCAAGUCGAACGGUAACAGGAAGAAGCUUGCUUCUUUGCUGACGAGUGGCGGACGGGUGAGUAAUGUCUGGGAAACUGCCUGAUGGAGGGGGAUAACUACUGGAAACGGUAGCUAAUACCGCAUAACGUCGCAAGACCAAAGAGGGGGACCUUCGGGCCUCUUGCCAUCGGCUGUGCCCAGGUGGGAUUAGCUAGUAGGUGGGGUAACGGCUCACCUAGGCGACGAUCCCUAGCUGGUCUGAGAGGAUGACCAGCCACACUGGAACUGAGACACGGUCCAGACUCCUACGGGAGGCAGCAGUGGGGAAUAUUGCACAAUGGGCGCAAGCCUGAUGCAGCCAUGCCGCGUGUAUGAAGAAGGCCUUCGGGUUGUAAAGUACUUUCAGCGGGGAGGAAGGGAGUAAAGUUAAUACCUUUGCUCAUUGACGUUACCCGCAGAAGAAGCACCGGCUAACUCCGUG
rnacentral:rRNA from 1 species